UUAGCAGCGCUGGAGAUUGAAAUCUGUUUAUCCACAGAAUAGGUACAGCACAGAUGGAAUCAGUGCAAACUUCCCUACCUAGCCCCGCUGAUAUGCUUCAUCUCUGACCUGGAGAGAUGACCUAUAGGGACAAGAGGGUUCUUGAAGUUCAUCUUUCGUGCUGAUAAGAGAGAAACU
rnacentral:sRNA from 1 species